AAAAAAAAUAUUUUCUGGGAGAAGAUGAAGCAUGUGAAGAUGAACUGGGUAACAGGAAACCUUGUGAGCUAGUACCAGGAGACAGAUCUAUACAACUACAAAUACCUGGAAUACGAAGGAAGAUUUACUUAGUGUGGGCCAGAGAUAUGUGCUGGUGCCUGGGAAACAGAGAAGAAGAUGCAUUGGAAGAUGUUUGUCAUCAGAGCAAGAUAUCUAACUUUUGCUGGAUUAUCUAGUAACUUAUCUCAUGAAGACCCUGCAAGGUGGGGUUGUUUCAAACCUAAGUCCCUGGAGCAAUGUAAAAAUACUAGUUACAAAGUUCCAGUACCUGAUAUGGCCUAGGAGCUACAGGCCUUUGAUGGUCUUCAGCAAAGCUUCUUUUACCAGGUAAAUAACUAGAGUCUGGGCAUCUGUGGGGGUUAUUAUUCUGCCUACCAUGUGUUCCAAAGAUACAAUUAGGUGGAAGAAAAAGGUACUAGCCUUUAAACUUCAGUUUACUCCUUUCUAUUAUUGCCAAAGACCUGUUUGGGGAAUUUCUACAAAGUCUGUAGCUUCUCUCACCACUCUGUGGCUCCUACCACUAAUGGUUUCACAACUUGGUCCUUUCCCCUCAUUCCGCAUCCUUGGAAUAAAGGAUACGGAAAUUGACUACACUGUGACUGACUUAGACACCAUCUCCUUAGAUUGUUUGAUCCCCAAAGAUAGUUUCAGAGCAUUAUGCCUCCCCAACUCACAGUUAGUGAAGUGCCCUGAGAUUUGUCAACUGGCACUUGUCUCCCAGACUUAAAAUUCUGACAGACUGUGAUUUAACCAACUUUCACUCACCCUAUGUUCUCCCUUCUCUAUAUAACAUUUCAGUAUCUAGUUUUGUUUUUCCUUCCUUCCUUCCUCCCUCCCUCCCUCCCUCCUUUCCUUCUUUCCCUCCCUCCCUCAUCUUUAAAAUUAGAAAUGAUACAAAGUUAAUUGGAACAAGACAAAGAAAACAAAAUAUUUAUCCUAAAUGAAGUGAUAACUGCAAUAUAUGACUACAGAACAGGAGCUAGCAACAGUUCUAUAGAACUAGCUAAAGAAAGUAAAAGUCAUCUAGACCAAAUUCUUAUUUGCUUUCAGAUUAUGCAAGUAUAGCUUUUGUUUCUAUAUUCCUCUAAAAACAUUGCACUUUGAAAUACUACAUAAUAAUAUUUAAAUCAAUAUUUUACUCCUUUACCCUUUAAAAAUGAUAUCCAUGUUUUUCUGAAACAUCAUCUGCUAUUUGUCUUCUCCUCAAAAAUAUUUUCAGAAUCAAAUAAUUUUCUCAUCACUUUCAUUGCUACUACCCACACAUCCAUCCUCUUUCCCUUGGGUCACUGGAAUACUUCCUGACUGGUGUCUCUGCCUUAUGCCUUGAUUCCACUGCUCCCUGCCCAUGCCCUCAUAUCAGGAAGUCAGAUGAUUGUUUUUCAAAUCUAAUCUGAUUACAAUCACAUUACUCCUGCUUAAAAUCUUUCAAAACUUCCUCUCUUUCUCAGAGAGAAGGCCACGACCCUUACCUCAAGGGCAGAGCUGUGUGAUGUGCUGGCUAUUAAUUCUCCCUGCAGUCACUCUCAUCCAGCCUUACAUCCUCUUUGCUGUUCUUUGAAUACUCCAAGUUUCCACCUGUCUCAAGUACCUUUGCUGCUUGCUGUCCCUGUGCCAGGAACUUGGUUCCCAUUGUAUCCAUUUGGCCUUCUCCCUCAUCACCAUCAGGUUUCUGCUCAAAUGUCAAACUCACUGAGGCUUUCCCAGUGUGCUCUAUUUUAAACAAGCUCCCUCUCCUUGGCCCCACAUUUUCUAGACUCACUUUCUCUUUCAUUUGUUGUCUAGAUCACUAAUUGUUUCCUAUUUUGCUUUACUUAGAGUACUAUAAACUUUCCUUUUAAGAUAUAAAAAAUAAACUUCAUGAUAGUAUAAUUUCUAUUUGAUUCAUUAUCCCUACAUUCCAUGAAAAUGCCUCCCCAUGAUCGGUACACAAUGAGUAGUUUUUAAAUUAAUAAAUGAAUGAAUGGAUGAAAAAUUUUCUACCUGCUUGGU
rnacentral:lncRNA from 1 species